rnacentral:rRNA from 1 species
GAUGAACGCUGGCGGCGUGCCUAAUACAUGCAAGUCGAGCGAACAGACGAGGAGCUUGCUCCUCUGACGUUAGCGGCGGACGGGUGAGUAACACGUGGAUAACUACCUAUAAGACUGGGAUAACUUCGGGAAACCGGAGCUAAUACCGGAUAAUAUAUUGAACCGCAUGGUUCAAUAGUGAAAGACGGUUUUGCUGUCACUUAUAGAUGGAUCCGCGCCGCAUUAGCUAGUUGGUAAGGUAACGGCUUACCAAGGCAACGAUGCGUAGCCGACCUGAGAGGGUGAUCGGCCACACUGGAACUGAGACACGGUCCAGACUCCUACGGGAGGCAGCAGUAGGGAAUCUUCCGCAAUGGGCGAAAGCCUGACGGAGCAACGCCGCGUGAGUGAUGAAGGUCUUCGGAUCGUAAAACUCUGUUAUUAGGGAAGAACAAAUGUGUAAGUAACUAUGCACGUCUUGACGGUACCUAAUCAGAAAGCCACGGCUAACUACGUG